GACGAACGCUGUCGGCGUGCUUAACACAUGCAAGUCGAACGGAAAGGCCCUGCUUUUGUGGGGUGCUCGAGUGGCGAACGGGUGAGUAACACGUGAGUAACCUGCCCUUGACUUUGGGAUAACUUCAGGAAACUGGGGCUAAUACCGGAUAGGAGCUCCUGCUGCAUGGUGGGGGUUGGAAAGUUUCGGCGGUUGGGGAUGGACUCGCGGCUUAUCAGCUUGUUGGUGGGGUAGUGGCUUACCAAGGCUUUGACGGGUAGCCGGCCUGAGAGGGUGACCGGCCACAUUGGGAAUGAGAUACGGACCAGACUCCGACGGGAGGCAGCAGUGGGGAAUAUUGCACAAUGGGCGGAAGCCUGAUGCAGCAACGCAGCGUGCGGGAGGACGGCCUGCGUGUUGUAAGCCGCUUUCGCCUGUGGUGAAGCGUGAGUGACGGUAAUGGGUAAAUAAGCACCGGCUAACUACGGG
rnacentral:rRNA from 1 species